GGCGAACAAAAUCGCUCUCCGUGGAGUGGGUUGGGAAGAGCACAUUGGGGUUGUCUUACGGGCUGACUUUUAGCGAGGCCCUUGUUGCUUGCGACAAUGCCGAGCAUUACGGCUAGGGCCGGUGGCGUGUUCUUGCCGAUCAUCAAGUCUUUGGCGCUGUCGGCCGGUAGUAAGCCCGGGGAUCCAUUGGCGAAGAUGCUUGGGUCUUAUCUGAUUCAAUCCCAGCUUCAUGUUAGCUUGUGGUUUCCCUUAAUUGGCUUCGAAACUUUUUCUUUCUUCUUUUUAUUGAAUUUGGUUUUGCAAUUGUUAGCUUGGAGAUUCCUUUCAAGCUGAUUACUUUCAUCAAUUGUGAAAUUGGAAACACGGGUUGACCUGUUCAGAGAGAAUGGGGGAUGCGCUCAAAACUUGCUGUGCCUAAAACUAGCUCAGGAGCUUGGGGUGAUAAUUACAAGCCCAUGGGUUUCUUGGUUCAAGGCUGCUAGUUUACCCGCAAUUAUUUCUCUCCUAGCAACUCCUCUUAUCUUGUACAAACUUUAUCCUCCUGAAACAAAGGACACACCCAUUGCUCCUGCCAUGGCUGCAAAAAAACUAGAGCUUAUGGGUCCUGUAACGAGAAAUGAAUGGGUGAUGAUUGAUAUAAUGCUUCUUGCAGUCUCCUUGUGGGUCUUUGGGCUCAUGGUAUAACAAGUGUUGCUGCUGCUAUGCUUGUCUUAUCAAUACUCUUGUUGUUGGGGGUGCUUGAUUGGGAUGACUGCUUGAGUGAAAAAUCAGCAUGGGAUACCUUGUUUGCCUUUCUAGUGGGUAUGGCAGGCCAAUUGACUAACCUUGGGAUUGUACCUUAGAUGCCUGAUUGUGUGGCAAAUGCCCUUGAAUCCUUCUCUUUGAGCUGGCCUGCUGCAUUUGGUGUUCUUCAGGCUGCUUACUUCUUCAUCCCCUACUUGUUUGCAAGUCAAACUGGUCAUGUUGGAGCUUUAUACCAAGCAUUUUUCGCUAUGAACUUGGCAUCUGGGGUACCUGUUGUGUUGGCAGCAUUUGGCUUCACUUACGUUACAAACCUAUUUGGUGCUCUAACUCAUUAUAGCAGCGGUCAGAUUGCCGUCUACUAUGAAGGGCAUUCAUCUUUUUCAGAUUGUAAAAGAGACAUUUUAAGCUCUAUCAGGCCGAUAUAUUUAUUUUCUCUUCUGAUUGAACAGCUGGUUAUGUAGACCUCCCUGAUGUGUUCAAGAUUGGCUUUGUAAUGGCCCUUAUUAAUGCCAUAAUCUGGGGAGUUGUCGGCUCAUUCUGGUGGAAAUUCUUGGGCCUUUGGUAAAAACUCAAGAUUUCCAUGUAAGUGGAUGCCGAUUUGUUUUUUGGUUGUAUUGUAUUAUGCCCCUCCAUUGCAGGCCAUGUUGGAACAAGUAUCACCUUAUUUCUAAUGGAAAUCCUCUCAAUUUUGGC